rnacentral:rRNA from 1 species
AACGCUGGCGGCGUGCCUAACACAAUGCAAGUCGAACGAAGCGACUCCGGUUUGAGGAUUCGUCAAGAACUGGAUUUGACUUAGUGGCGGACGGGUGAGUAAUGUAUGAGCAACCUGCCUUUCAGAGGGGGACAACAGUUGGAAACGACUGCUAAUACCGCAUAACGUAUUUUAGGGGCAUCCCUGGGAUACCAAAGGAGCAAUCCGCUGAAAGAUGGGCUCAUAUCUGAUUAGUUAGUUUGGCAGGGUAACGGCCUACCAAGACUGCGAUCAGUAGCCGGACUGAGAGGUUGAACGGCCACAUUGGGACUGAGAUACGGCCCAGACUCCUACGGGAGGCAGCAGUGGGGAAUAUUGGGCAAUGGGCGAAAGCCUCGACCCAGCAACGCCGCGUGAAGGAAGAAGGUCUUCGGAUUGUAAACUUCUUUUAUGAGGGACGAAGGACGUGACGGUACCUCAUGAAUAAGCCACGGCUAACUACGUGCCAGCCGCGGC